rnacentral:rRNA from 1 species
UACGUAGGGUGCAAGCGUUAAUCGGAAUUACUGGGCGUAAAGCGUGCGCAGGCGGUGAUGUAAGACAGGUGUGAAAUCCCCGGGCUUAACCUGGGAACUGCAUUUGUGACUGCAUCGCUGGAGUGCGGCAGAGGGGGAUGGAAUUCCGCGUGUAGCAGUGAAAUGCGUAGAGAUGCGGAGGAACACCGAUGGCGAAGGCAGCCCCCUGGGCUAAGACUGACGCUGAGGCGCGAAAGCGUGGGGAGCAAACAGG